AUUGAACGCUGGCGGCAGGCCUAACACAUGCAAGUCGAGCGGAGCGGCGGACGGGUGAGUAAUGCCUAUGUAUCUGCCUGGUCGUGGGGGAUAACGUCCGGCAACGGGCGCUAAUACCGAAUACUCUCAGUUGAGCCUAGGUCGGAUUAGCUAGUUGGUGGGGUAAAGGCCUACCAAGGCGACGAUCCGUAACUGGUCUGAGAGGAUGAUCAGUCACACUGGAACUGAGACACGGUCCAGACUCCUACGGGAGGCAGCAGUGGGGAAUAUUGGACAAUGGGCGAAAGCCUGACGGAGCAACGCCGCGUGAGUGAUGAAGGUCUUCGGAUCGUAAAACUCUGUUAUUAGGGAAGCGUUACCUAAACAAAAAGCCACGGCUAACUACGUGCCAGCAGCCGCGGUAAUAC
rnacentral:rRNA from 1 species